UACGUAGGGACCAAGCGUUGUUCGGAUUUACUGGGCGUAAAGGGCGCGUAGGCGGCUUAACAAGUCACUUGUGAAAUCUCCGGGCUUAACUCGGAACGGCCAAGUGAAACUGUCAAGCUAGAGUGCAGAAGGGGCAAUCGGAAUUCUUGGUGUAGCGGUGAAAUGCGUAGAUAUCAAGAGGAACACCUGAGGUGAAGACGGGUUGCUGGGCUGACACUGACGCUGAGGCGCGAAAGCCAGGGGAGCAAACAGG
rnacentral:rRNA from 1 species